rnacentral:rRNA from 1 species
ACUCCUACGGGAGGCAGCAGUGGGGAAUAUUGGACAAUGGGGGGAACCCUGAUCCAGCCAUGCCGCGUGUGUGAAGAAGGCCUUAUGGUUGUAAAGCACUUUAAGCGAGGAGGAGGCUACUAGUAUUAAUACUACUGGAUAGUGGACGUUACUCGCAGAAUAAGCACCGGCUAACUCUGUGCCAGCAGCCGCGGUAAUACAGAGGGUGCGAGCGUUAAUCGGAUUUACUGGGCGUAAAGCGUGCGUAGGCGGCCAUUUAAGUCAAAUGUGAAAUCCCCGAGCUUAACUUGGGAAUUGCAUUCGAUACUGGAUGGCUAGAGUAUGGGAGAGGAUGGUAGAAUUCCAGGUGUAGCGGUGAAAUGCGUAGAGAUCUGGAGGAAUACCGAUGGCGAAGGCAGCCAUCUGGCCUAAUACUGACGCUGAGGUACGAAAGCAUGGGGAGCAAACAGGAUUAGAUACCCUGGUAGGCGUAGU